rnacentral:misc_RNA from 1 species
GAUGAAGAACGUAGCGAAAUGCGAUAAGUAUUGUGACUUGCAGAAUUCAGUGAAUCAUCGAAUCUUUGAACGCACAUUGCGCCCUCUGGCAUUCCGGAGAGCAUGCCUGUCCGAGCGUCAUUGCUGCCCUCAAGCACGGCUUGUGUGUUGGGCCUCCGUCCUCCUCCCGGGGGACGGGCCCGAAAGGCAGCGGCGGCACCGCGUCCGGUCCUCGAGCGUAUGGGGCUUCGUCACCCGCUCUUGUAGGCCCGGCCGGCGCUUGCCGACACAUCAAUCUUUUUUCCAGGUUGACCUCGGAUCAGGUAGGGAUACCCGCUGAACUUAAGCAUAUCAAUAAGCGGAGGA